rnacentral:rRNA from 1 species
GAAUGCUGACAUAAGUAACGAUAAAGCGGGUGAAAAGCCCGCUCGCCGGAAGACCAAGGGUUCCUGUCCAACGUUAAUCGGGGCAGGGUGAGUCGACCCCUAAGGCGAGGCCGAAAGGCGUAGUCGAUGGGAAACAGGUUAAUAUUCCUGUACUUGGUGUUACUGCGAAGGGGGGACGGAGAAGGCUAUGUUGGCCGGGCGACGGUUGUCCCGGUUUAAGCGUGUAGGCUGAUUUUCCAGGCAAAUCCGGAAAAUCAAGGCUGAGGCGUGAUGACGAGGCACUACGGUGCUGAAGCAACAAAUGCCCUGCUUCCAGGAAAAGCCUCUAAGCAUCAGGUAACAUCAAAUCGUACCCCAAACCGACACAGGUGGUCAGGUAGAGAAUACCAAGGCGCUUGAGAGAACUCGGGUGAAGGAACUAGGCAAAAUGGUGCCGUAACUUCGGGAGAAGGCACGCUGAUAUGUAGGUGAAGCGACUUGCUCGUGGAGCUGAAAUCAGUCGAAGAUACCAGCUGGCUGCAACUGUUUAUUAAAAACACAGCACUGUGCAAACACGAAAGUGGACGUAUACGGUGUGACGCCUGCCCGGUGCCGGAAGGUUAAUUGAUGGGGUUAGCGGUAACGCGAAGCUCUUGAUCGAAGCCCCGGUAAACGGCGGCCGUAACUAUAACGGUCCUAAGGUAGCGAAAUUCCUUGUCGGGUAAGUUCCGACCUGCACGAAUGGCGUAAUGAUGGCCAGGCUGUCUCCACCCGAGACUCAGUGAAAUUGAACUCGCUGUGAAGAUGCAGUGUACCCGCGGCAAGACGGAAAGACCCCGUGAACCUUUACUAUAGCUUGACACUGAACAUUGAGCCUUGAUGUGUAGGAUAGGUGGGAGGCUUUGAAGUGUGGACGCCAGUCUGCAUGGAGCCGACCUUGAAAUACCACCCUUUAAUGUUUGAUGUUCUAACGUUGGCCCGUUAUCCGGGUUGCGGACAGUGUCUGGUGGGUAGUUUGACUGGGGCGGUCUCCUCCUAAAGAGUAACGGAGGAGCACGAAGGUUGGCUAAUCCUGGUCGGACAUCAGGAGGUUAGUGCAAUGGCAUAAGCCAGCUUGACUGCGAGCGUGACGGCGCGAGCAGGUGCGAAAGCAGGUCAUAGUGAUCCGGUGGUUCUG